rnacentral:rRNA from 1 species
AUGGAGAGUUUGAUUCUGGCUCAGAACGAACGCUGGCGGCGUGGAUAAGACAUGCAAGUCGAACGAGAGAAUUGCUAGCUUGCUAAUAAUUCUCUAGUGGCGCACGGGUGAGUAACACGUGAGUAACCUGCCCCCGAGAGCGGGAUAGCCCUGGGAAACUGGGAUUAAUACCGCAUAGUAUCGAAAGAUUAAAGCAGCAAUGCGCUUGGGGAUGGGCUCGCGGCCUAUUAGUUAGUUGGUGAGGUAACGGCUCACCAAGGCGAUGACGGGUAGCCGGUCUGAGAGGAUGUCCGGCCACACUGGAACUGAGACACGGUCCAGACACCUACGGGUGGCAGCAGUCGAGAAUCAUUCACAAUGGGGGAAACCCUGAUGGUGUGACGCCGCGUGGGGGAAUGAAGGUCUUCGGAUUGUAAACCCCUGUCAUGUGGGAGCAAAUUAAAAAGAUAGUACCACAAGAGGAAGAGACGGCUAACUCUGUGCCAGCAGCCGCGGUAAUACAGAGGUCUCAAGCGUUGUUCGGAAUCACUGGGCGUAAAGCGUGCGUAGGCUGUUUCGUAAGUCGUGUGUGAAAGGCGCGGGCUCAACCCGCGGACGGCACAUGAUACUGCGAGACUAGAGUAAUGGAGGGGGAACCGGAAUUCUCGGUGUAGCAGUGAAAUGCGUAGAUAUCGAGAGGAACACUCGUGGCGAAGGCGGGUUCCUGGACAUUAACUGACGCUGAGGCACGAAGGCCAGGGGAGCGAAAGGGAUUAGAUACCCCUGUAGUCCUGGCAGUAAACGGUGCACGCUUGGUGUGCGGGGAAUCGACCCCCUGCGUGCCGGAGCUAACGCGUUAAGCGUGCCGCCUGGGGAGUACGGUCGCAAGAUUAAAACUCAAAGAAAUUGACGGGGACCCGCACAAGCGGUGGAGUAUGUGGCUUAAUUCGAUGCAACGCGAAGAACCUUACCUGGGCUUGACAUGUAAUGAACAACAUGUGAAAGCAUGCGACUCUUCGGAGGCGUUACACAGGUGCUGCAUGGCCGUCGUCAGCUCGUGUCGUGAGAUGUUUGGUUAAGUCCAGCAACGAGCGCAACCCCUGUUGCCAGUUACCAGCACGUGAAGGUGGGGACUCUGGCGAGACUGCCCAGAUCAACUGGGAGGAAGGUGGGGACGACGUCAGGUCAGUAUGGCCCUUAUGCCCAGGGCUGCACACGUACUACAAUGCCCAGUACAGAGGGGGCCGAAGCCGCGAGGCGGAGGAAAUCCUAAAAACUGGGCCCAGUUCGGACUGUAGGCUGCAACCCGCCUACACGAAGCCGGAAUCGCUAGUAAUGGCGCAUCAGCUACGGCGCCGUGAAUACGUUCCCGGGUCUUGUACACACCGCCCGUCACAUCAUGGAAGCCGGUCGCACCCGAAGUAUCUGAAGCCAACCGCAAGGAGGCAGGGUCCUAAGGUGAGACUGGUAACUGGGAUGAAGUCGUAACAAGGUAGCCGUAGGGGAACCUGCGGCUGGAUCACCUCCUUU